AGAAUGGAAGAAAACAUUUGUAAAUGUUUGUGACAAGAGGUUAAUAUCUAGAAUAUAUAAGGAACCCAAACUGUUGAGUUCAAUAGCAAAAAAACCAAAUAAUCCAAUUAAAAAUGGGCAAAAAACCUGAAUAGACAUUUCUUGAAACAAGACAUAAAAUUGCCAACAAGUAUAUGAAAAAAUACUCAGCAUCACUAGUCAUCAGGGAACUGCAAGUCAAAAUCACAAUAUCACCUAACUCGAGUAAGAAUGGCUAUUAUCAAAAAGACAAAAAAUAACAAGUGUUCGUGAGGAUGUGAAGAAGAAAAAACCCUUACACACUGUUGGUGGGAAUGUAAAUUAUUAUAGUAAUUAUGGAAAACAGUUUGGAGGUUUAUCAAAAAAAUAGAAAUAUAACUACCACAUGACCCAGCAAUCCCAACACUAGCUAUUUAUCCAAAGGAAUUGGAAUCAGUAUGUGAAACAGACAUCUGCAUGCUCCUGUUUAUUGCACCACUAUUCACAAUAGCUAAGGUAAGGAAUCAGCUUAAGUACCCAUCAUCAGAUGAAGAGAUAAAAUGUGGUGUAUAUGCACAAUAGAGUACUAUUUCACCAUAACAAAACAGGAAAUGCUGUCAUUUGCAACAACAUGGAUGAAACUAGACGACAUGAUGUUAAGCGUAAUAAGCCAGAUAGAGAAAGACAAAUACCACAUGAUGUCAUUCGUAUGUGGAAUCUAAAAAACUUGAUUUCAUAGCAGUAGAGAGUAGAACCUUGGUUAUCAGAGGCUGGGGGAGAAGGGUGGGAGGUAGAGGAGAGGAGGAGAUGGGGAGAAAUUGGCCAACAGAUGCAAAGUUACAGUUAGGAGGAAUAAGUUCUGGUGUCCUAUUGCAAGUAGGGUAACUACAGUUAGCUAUGUAUGUUUCAAAAUCGCUAGAAGAGGAUUUUGAAUGUUCUCACCACCAAGAAACAAUAAAUGUUUGAGGUGAUGGGUAAGGUAAUUACCCUGAUUUGAUCAUUACACAAUGUAUACAUGUAUUGAAACAUCAUAUAGUACCCCAUGAAUGUGUAC
rnacentral:lncRNA from 10 species